CUCGAAAGUUUUCUUCGACUGACUCGUUGACCACACAAAACACGGCAGUAUCCAUAUCAGGUGAUGCUACCAUUGAUAAAUUUCCGACCUUAUCAUCAAGUUUAUUCAUUUUUGCAGGAACUUCUCGUAAAAAUGAAUCCAUGUAAUGACGAUGUACUAUUUGCUGGUGCCUUAAAAGAUAUUGACGUUCUGGAGAUGACAAAUACAACAAUAAAUUAGGAUGUGAUUGAAUGUAUUGAGCAUAUUUGUCAAUUUUAUUGAUUCGAGUUCGCAUAUACGAGCGUAAAACAAACUUCACUCGCUCAAGUUCGGUUUGCAUUAGUACGCUCCUAUAACUAGUUGCACUACUUGUUCCAAUGGCCAAUUGUAGAGUUUCUCGUUGUGCUUCAAUUCUAUCAAGAACUCUGCUUACAAUUUCUUCAGCAAAAGGCAACAAAUCCGGAGCCAUUCGCUCAUUCACCCAUUGAGUACAUAAAUCCUCAUAAUCAUUCUCCACUUCUGUUGUCGGUUCUAUUAGCAAAUCAUCAGCAUCCCACUCCAUCCAUAAAAAAU